GGACCGGAGUGGACGAACCUCUGGUGUUCGGGUUGUGUCGCCAGACGCAUUGCCCGGUAGCUAAGUUCGGAAUCGAUAACCGCUGAAAGCAUCUAAGCGGGAAGCGAGCCCUGAGAUGAGUCUUCCCUGAUACUUUAAGUAUCCUAAAGGGUUGUCGGAGACUACGACGUUGAUAGGUCAGGUGUGUAAGUGCUGUGAGGCAUUGAGCUAACUGAUACUAAUUGCCCGUGAGGCUUAACCAUACAACACCCAAGGGGUUU
rnacentral:rRNA from 1 species